rnacentral:rRNA from 1 species
ACAUGAAGCUGGAAUCGCUAGUAAUCGCGAAUCAGAAUGUCGCGGUGAAUACGUUCCCGGGUCUUGUACACACCGCCCGUCACACCAUGGGAGUCAGUAACGCCCGAAGUCAGUGACCCAACCAAUCAGGAGGGAGCUGCCGAAGGUGGGACCGAUAACUGGGGUGAAGUCGUAACAAGGUAAC